rnacentral:rRNA from 1 species
CCCUUAGAUGUUCUGGGCCGCACGCGCGCUACACUGAUGCAUUCAACGAGUCUAAAACCUGGUCUGAUAGGGCUGGGUAAUCUUUUGAAUGUGCAUCGUGAUUGGGAUAGAUGAUUGCAAUUCUUCAUCUUCAACGAGGAAUGCCUAGUAAACGCAAGUCAUCAGCUUGCAUUGAUUACGUCCCUGCCCUUUGUACACACCGCCCGUCGCUCCUACCGAUUGGAUGUUCCGAUGAAUACCAUGGACUGAGAGUAUGAAUGGGUUCGCCUAUUUCUGCUUCUCGGGAAGUGGAGUAAAUCUUAACAUUUAGAGGAAGGAGAAGUCGUAACA